UACGUAGGGUGCAAGCGUUUGUCCGGAAUUAUUGGGCGUAAAGAGCUCGUAGGCGGUCUGUCGCGUCUGCUGUGAAAACUCAGGGCUUAACCCUGAGCUUGCAGUGGGUACGGGGCAGACUAGAGUGCGGUAGGGGAGACUGGAAUUCCUGGUGUAGCGGUGAAAUGCGCAGAUAUCAGGAGGAACACCGGUGGCGAAGG
rnacentral:rRNA from 1 species